rnacentral:rRNA from 1 species
GGAAUAUUGGUCAAUGGGCGCAAGCCUGAACCAGCCAUGCCGCGUGCAGGAAGACGGCCCUAUGGGUUGUAAACUGCUUUUGUCAGGGAAUAAACCCCCGCUCGUGAGCGGGGCUGAAGGUACCUGAAGAAUAAGCAUCGGCUAACUCCGUGCCAGCAGCCGCGGUAAUACGGAGGAUGCAAGCGUUAUCCGGAUUCAUUGGGUUUAAAGGGUGCGCAGGCGGAUUGGUAAGUCAGGGGUGAAAUCCCACAGCUCAACUGUGGAGCUGCCUUUGAUACUGUCAGGCUAGAGUAUGGUUGAAGUGCGCGGAAUGUCUCAUGUAGCGGUGAUAUGCUUAGAUAUAGCACAGAACACCGAUCGCGUAGGCAGCUCGCUAGGCUAUCACUGACGCUCGUGCACGAAAGCGUGGGGAUCAAACAGGAU